UUUCAGUAUAAAUACAACCGAAAUUACAACGCAGAAGUUUAGUUGCCAAACGAGAACAGUCCGCAUAAAAAUGUACAUUUCGUCUUUUAUGAAAGCUUUGCUGUUGGUACUUUUCGUGGUUAUUACCAGUGCCGAGCCUCUACUGCGCCCUGCAGUAUGUGUGCGAUGUUUCAAAUAUUGGAGUAAGGCGGAAUGUGACAAACAGGGUAAAAUUCAUGUUGAACAGACCUGUAACGCCUGUUCUGCAUGUGUGGAUCCGUGCAUAAAUUGCUUCUAUGAACCAUCUGAAGAGGAAUGCCAGUUGCAGGGUAAGGUACUUCGUCCUUACUCCUGCUACCAAUGCGGCGAAUGUGUGGAUCCAUGUAUACAAUGCUUUUAUGAACCGACUGAAGCCGAAUGCCAGUCGCAGGGUAAGGUGCUUCGUCCUUACUCAUGCUACCAAUGCGGCGAAUGUGUGGAUGCGUAGAAUAUAAAAAAAAAAGUUUUUUGUUGUCGACUAUAACAAUUUUGAUGUUGAAAUUAAGUGAAAUAAAUGUUGGU